rnacentral:rRNA from 1 species
GCCUAAUACAUGCAAGUCGAGCGGACGAAUCGAAAGCUUGCUUUUGAUUCGUUGGCGGCGGACGGGUGAGUAACACGUGGGCAACCUGCCCUGUAGACGGGGAUAACACCGAGAAAUCGGUGCUAAUACCGGAUAACACGAAAUGUCGCAUGACGUUUCGUUGAAAGACGGCGCAAGCUGUCGCUACAGGAUGGGCCCGCGGCGCAUUAGCUAGUUGGUGAGGUAACGGCUCACCAAGGCGACGAUGCGUAGCCGACCUGAGAGGGUGAUCGGCCACACUAGGACUGAGACACGGCCCAGACUCCUACGGGAGGCAGCAGUAGGGAAUCUUCCGCAAUGGACGAAAGUCUGACGGAGCAACGCCGCGUGAGCGAAGAAGGCCUUCGGGUCGUAAAGCUCUGUUGUUAGGGAAGAACAAGUAACGCAGUAACUGGCGUUACCGUGACGGUACCUAACGAGAAAGCCACGGCUAACUACGUGCCAGCAGCCGCGGUAAUACGUAGGUGGCAAGCGUUGUCCGGAAUUAUUGGGCGUAAAGCGCGCGCAGGCGGUUCCUUAAGUCUGAUGUGAAAGCCCACGGCUCAACCGUGGAGGGUCAUUGGAAACUGGGGGACUUGAGUGCAGAAGAGGAGAGCGGAAUUCCACGUGUAGCGGUGAAAUGCGUAGAGAUGUGGAGGAACACCAGUGGCGAAGGCGGCUCUCUGGUCUGUAACUGACGCUGAGGCGCGAAAGCGUGGGGAGCAAACAGGAUUAGAUACCCUGGUAGUCCACGCCGUAAACGAUGAGUGCUAAGUGUUAGAGGGUAUCCACCCUUUAGUGCUGUAGCUAACGCAUUAAGCACUCCGCCUGGGGAGUACGCUCGCAAGAGUGAAACUCAAGGAAUUGACGGGGGCCCGCACA